rnacentral:miRNA from 1 species
ACCCCCGGGCAAAGACCUGCAGAU